UUCAUCAUGUGAUGAAAUCAGAAAAUUAAUCUUAGGACACCUUCCUACACGGCUCUGGAAUCUGGAGUUGUGGAUGAGAAAGAAAUUUCUAUUCUGAUGAUGAA